rnacentral:rRNA from 1 species
CUUGGUCAUUUAGAGGAAGUAAAAGUCGUAACAAGGUCUCCGUAGGUGAACCUGCGGAGGGAUCAUUACUGAAUGGCUUCGGCCUUCAACCUUCAAACCUGUGGAAGCAAACCGUGCUUCGGGGCUCCGGCCCCGCAUCUAUGCCUCAAAGCGUUUGUCCGAACUAAAAGCAAGAAUUAAAACUUUCAACAAAGGAUCUCUUGGCUCUCGCAUCGAUGAAGAACGCAGCGAAGCGCGAAAUGUAGUGUGAAUCGCAGACCAUUGUGAAUCAUCGAAUCUUUGAACGCACAUUGCGCCUCCCCUAACCGGGAGGCAUGCCUGUCUGAGCGUCAUUUAAACCAUAGCCCCUUUAUGGGUCUGUCUUGGGCAUCGCCUGUGGGCGUAGCCUCAAAGUUAUCGGUCUGAGUGCGGACGAGAUCCAUUAGGACUUACCGUGCUGGGACCUUAAACCUCUGACUUGACCUCAGAUCAGGUAGGGCUACCACCUGAACUUAAGCAUAUCAAUAAGCGGAGGA